rnacentral:lncRNA from 1 species
AUGCGCGGAGUGAGGGCGGGCUUGGUGACACAUCCGUUUUCAUUGCGCAUGCAUAGUCUGAGGUACUGGGCUUGUUGGGACUUCCGCCUUCCACUGCGCAUGCGUGAGUUGAGGGGCUGGGCUUGUUUGGACUUCCGUCUCCUAACGCGCAUGCGUGAAAUUGGGGAGGCGUGGCGGGUGCCAUGGCAACGCGUGGCUGAAGGGUGGGAGGUGGCUGCGAGGGGCGGCUGGCAUCGGGAUUGGGAUCCGGGAUUGGGAUCUGUUCACUGCUUGGGGUUCAUGGGGAUGGGGAUUGAGGGUCCUGCCUCGGGGCUUGGUGUGGAGUGCUGCUUGCUAGAAAGGCUCAGCCAUGGUAAUGCAGGUUUGGUUUUUCUGAAAGUAUCGGCUCUUUCUUGAUGUUGACAGACAACAGGCUGUAAAAUUCUGCAUACCUUUUAGAAAGAGCCAAAUCUGGUUGCUUGUAGGUGAUGGCAAAUGCCACACAAACAUGGAUAUCUUGAUACUUAAGAGUUCAGUUGUCACACUUGGUUGUAUGGGAUGAAUGGGACAUUGUUAGGAACUCUCAUCUGCCCAAGUGUUGCCUCUGCAUGCCAAAAAAAAAGAUGCAUGCCAAAAAAGAGCCGCUCAGCUUUGGUUGCCUGCUAAACCCAUAAGGAACACCACGGCUGUUGGCUGGCAUGCCAGACAUUAGCUGUGGCACUGCUGUGUGUGCCUGUGUACAUAUGGACAAGGUGUGACUCCUGACAGCAUUUGUGGUGCCGUGCUGGAGGAGUUUGUUGGCUUCCCGUAAGCGUUUGAUUCUGGGAAGCCCUGCUCCAGGCUGUGCUGGACUGUUUGAGCAGACUGCAGGCUGCAGCUUACUGAUGUCAUAUUCAAUAAGAGACAGAAAAGAGAAGAAAAGAGAGUUGCUGACAAAAACUGACUGCUGACAUUCAAAGCCCAGAGGUUGAAUGUAUUCGCUGCAGAGAGACAGCAGGAGUAGUGAGUCAGCUCUAAACCAAAGACAUUCCCUGUUUCUCACUGCAGACUCACUACAGUAGCUGUAAGCAUCUUUGUUAUUCUGAAAGAUCAGCUAUGGGACAAAUUCAGACCAGGGAUGUAAUGGUGCUCACACAAUCUGCCAGUGGCCCCGCUGGGAUUACACAAGCAGGGAGUGCAGUUGGGAGGCUGUUUCAUAAUCUGCUGUAAGCAUCCACUCUGAAGCAAACCCAUGCAGUAUUCAACAAAUUCUAGCCAGUUAAGGUCUGUGAAAGGCUCAUCACCCUCUCUGAUGAAUGUCUGUGUUGAAGUUUGCAGUCUGCAAUGACUGAAUAGGAAACACUGCUGCCAUCAUCUGUAGCUCGCACUGUUUUCUGUUUGUCUUCUCUUUCCUCUUGUGGGCAGUGGUUCUAUGCACUUUAUCUGGACCUUGUGACUUUUUGUUUUUCUUUUAUACCUGUACGUACACCUCCACGUUGUGCUCUUGGGUGACUGAAGGUUGCAUCCCAACUGUGCUCUCAUUCCAUGGAAAAAUACGCUACACAUGCUGCCUUCAGCUGGUUUGUUCCCAGCUGAUAGUUACAUAUGGCCUUUGCACCUAUCCUUAAUAUUCCUAAUGAUUUGCACAGAAUUGUUUAAUUAACGGUGUGCAAAACUAGGCAAAUAACAGAAAUAGAUGGGCAGAGGCGGUAAGUGACAAAAAAAGGUACACGGUAUCGGAUGGAAACCCAGCACAUGGUUAAUUGACUUUAGGAGUGUAUCACAAUGCAUUAAUUAAAAAAUCAAUUGAAAAGACCGUGGGAUUUCCAUUAUGCACCGACCUAUUUUAGCCAGACAGAAGUGCAGUGGAACACUAAGCAAUCCUGUCUGAUGUCUUUAAAGAUUCUUACAGAGCAAAUAUAGAUUUUGUCUGCGGUGAGAGAAUCUGAGCUAAUAUAGCCUGGACUGUGAUGCCAUGAAACUGUUCCAGGAUGUCUUGGGAUCCUCAGCCCAGAAGGCGGACAAUACAGACAAAGGGCUAAUUAGCUGUUUCCAUGGUCACUUUCUCUCUGCAGGCAGGUAAAAGCAGCAAACCCAAGGUUGGCAAAGGCAAAAGCUCCAAAGAGAAAACGAAGAAGGUGGUGAAGGACGUGGAUAUCCUCAGCUCAGCUGCCAUGCUCAAUGCCCAUUACAUCUGCCAUAAUGUCCCUGCCUGCCUAGAGUUGCGGGGCUUUCCUUGGCCUGGUUCACCCAAAAAGAAGGGGAAGAGACGAAAGUAGCUGGCUGGAAAGCAAAGGAUGUGAUGAAAGCCAAGCUCCUCCUGAUAAGAAGAGGCUUUUUUGAACUUUAGACUCAUAGCAGUAUCUCCAGUGGUUAGCUCAAGUAUUUUGCCAUAAUCACUGUUGUGUCCACACAAAGACACUCUUAUUAUAGCUCAAGCUUACAGUGACAAAUGACAAGUGACACUGGUGCUGUCAUAAUUUCAGCUGUGGCCCUUAGACCUUAGUUCUGUGCGGAAUAAAACACUGAGUCUCAGCAGUCUGAGAGGAUUGUGGUGGGGUUUAUUUUACCCAUACCACUGCUAUUCUUAUGCAGACAAAAAGAGCUCCCCAAUGUGGGUGUGCCUGCAGUUCUUUCAAUCAAUGCUGGUGGAAACUUGAGCUCAGAUAGCAGAUACCACCCUGAGAUCAUCUGUGUCAAAUACUUCUACAGCAGCUCUGAGAGUCGCCUGGUGCUCCCUUUCUGGGUCAGAAGAGCUGUGCGAUGCAGUCUGCAUAUCUGGGUGAUUCAGCUCAUUCUACAUUUGGACAGAUAAGUGAUACUUGAAGCCCCAGUGAACGUACUGCUGGUUCUCUUUUGGCUGUAGUGAGAUCCUGGAGAUCUAGCUGAGAUGCUGGCAGUGAUGCUGUGUUAAGUUAGAGGCAAUGAUGAGCCCCCCUACCAGGUCUCCCCUUACAGUAAUUGCUGUUAGUCCGAACAUCCUGGCUGGAAACCACAAGAUUUAUGUUACAGAUCAAAGUCGUUUCGCUCCAUUUCCUCCGUGUCAGUUUAAGGCAGCCCUUGGUGAAGCAGUACAUCAAGUGAGUCUGUGCAUCUCUCCCAGAUUCUUCCAGCACGCCAACUGGAAGGAUGCAGUGGGACAAGAGAGGGUGUGUCCUGAACUGACACAGGCUGUGAGAGGUGGGAAGGAAUACAAAAUAGCCAGAAUCUCAGAGAAGGAUUUAGGAAAACAUAAUCUGAAGUAGGCUAGAGUUACUGAAGAGGAGAUGUACCAGGUCUCUCGAAUAUUUGAGCAAAAGUGAGCAUGCGAGACCGCUCCCUACAUCAAGCAGCAGUGUGAUGUGCACAGGAAGAACUUCAGCUGGUUUCUCAGAGCUGAACAUCUGCAGCUGAGCAGUAAGCCAGCUUGGAGCCAUUCCUCCAAGGCCAUUUCAGAUUGAUUUAUGUGGAGGUGCCGCACCUUUCUGACUUCCAGGUAGCUUUGUGUUACAGGCAGCAGUGCUGCCAAUUACAACAGGUCUGACACAAACUGAUAAACACCUGUACGGCUUAAUGCUAUUUCUCCAGCUUAACAUCUUCCCUCUAUGAAGAGAUCUUAACUUGAUAAAAUCAUGGUUUUGUGGCAUUGGUUGCAGGCCAACUACUGUCGUGUAGAUUACAUGAGCUACUGCAGUGCUCUACUGAAUUUUCCAUGUACGUGCCAAGAAAAUCAUGGUGGGGACUCAGUUUCCUUGCUGAUUAGCCUGCAGUUGGCAUGUACUGCUGCAUCAGGGAUGUGGUUUGCAGUACCACUUUGCUCUGCCAUUCACGGAUGAGUCUUCCUCAGCACUUAUUCGAAGUCUUGCUUCCCCAUCACCCACCAGGAAGUCUCUGGUCAGAACAUAUGUUUGUAACUAUUUCCUUCUAGUAACGGUGUUCCAAAGCAAGAGAGGACCAGUUUGCUCUCUGUGUUUAUAAUCUUAUACUGAUUGCUAAAAAAUGAAGCAUUCCCUCUUUGUGUGAUAUACUUGCUGCACUGAGCAUUAAGGGACAGAUAUUUCCAAGCACCAAGGUAGGAACUACUUGGUGUCACAGGGCUGUCCCUCACCACUAGCAUUUCUCUGCUUCUCGUCCAGGGUCAGUUUGCAGGAGGAAAAGCUGAAGAGCAACACCAUCUGCUGCCAUAAGAACAAUUGGAUGUGGAACAAGUAUUUAGGAAAAUAACUUCCUUCUGGGCAACUUUCUCUACAGUCACCUCUUGCAGCAUCACUGCAGUUUCCUCUGAAGCUGUUAUCCAGCCAGCAGGCAGACAGUAUGCUGCUCAGAACAGAUGUGUGGGCUGAUCUGAUACAACUGCUGCAGGGAAGCAAAGCCCUUAUGAGACAGACUGCAGCUACAACAAUUUCAAGUUUUAGUGAGCAAAACUGACUGGAACAAGUAGUGAAAUAUCAUUAGUUGUUUUCUCUUUAAAAACCCCAAAAUCUGCUUUUGUAUGAUGCAUACCAGGUGGUGACCAGUGAAGUGCAAAGAAUGAAGGCUCUGCUUUCAAGAGCGUCUGAGAAGCUAACCUUCAGUUCUUUGAUAGCAGAUGAGAAAGCCCUUCCAGCCAUUCCAAACUGCAAAAUUAAACACUUUUUUUUCCCCUUUUUCCCUCUCCCACACCCUCAUCCGUCUCAAUUUUGCAUGUAAUUCAGGCUGCCCUGUGGUUAAUGAAGACCAGCAGACACCUUGAAAUAACAGUUUGGAUUUUAAAAUGGGUUGAUUCUCUACUUGAAUAUGGUGCUUCAAACAUCCACCAACUGCUGCUGACUUCUGAGAAACAGUCCAGCUCGAAUGGAUGCAGCUUCAUGGGAGACUCCAUUGCUGCUGUAUAACAGAUAUCUCUGUUUCAUCACAACAUGUACAAGUCGAAUACUGUGGCAGGCUCUUCUUCCUGCUAGGGUACAGACUUUGCAAGCUGAGUUUAUGAUGAAUAAAGCUGAUUCUGCUCAAAUCCCCAAAGAAUCUUUUGAGAAGGAACUGGAAGCUCAAUCACAGAAUCACAGAAUCACAGAAUUGUAGGGGUUGGAAGGGACCUCUAGAGAUCAUCGAGACCAACCCCCCUGCCAAAGCAGGUUCCCUACACCAGGUCGCACAGGUAGGCGUCCAGGCGAGACUUGAAUAUCUCCAGAGAAGGAGACUCCACAACCUCCCUGGGCAGCCUGUUCCAGUGCUCCGUCACCUCACCGUGAAGAAGUUCUUACACACAUUGGUGCAGAACUUCCCGUGCUGCAGCUUAUGUCCGUUUCCCCUCGUCCUGUCUCCACGUACCACUGAAAAGAGACUGGCCUCACCACUAUGGCCGCCACACCUCAGAUAUUUAUAAACCUGGAUCAGGUCCCCUCUCAGUCUUCUUUUCUCAAGGCUAAACAGACCCAGUUCAGUCA